rnacentral:rRNA from 1 species
GAUGAACGCUAGCGACAGGCCUAACACAUGCAAGUCGGAGGGGGCAGCAUAGAUGUAGUAAUACAUUUGAUGGCGACCGGCGCACGGGUGAGUAACGCGUAUGCAAUCUACCUUCUACACAGGGAUAGCCCGUUGAAAGACGGAUUAAUACCUGAUAAUACAGGGGCACCGCAUGGUGAUAUUUGUUAAAGAUUUAUUGGUAGAAGAUGAGCAUGCCG